ensembl:lncRNA LINC02269 long intergenic non-protein coding RNA 2269
GCAUGCCAAAUUAAUCACACUUCUUAAACACAUCUCUUGACCGGGGUGUUCUCACCAUGCCCUUUCUACAAACAAAAAUUACAGGAAUGCAGAUGUGAUUCCUAUGGAUGAGGGUAACCUAGAGGCUAGAAGAACAAUAGGACAGAAGAAGCCUGGGUCCCUGAACAACCUUGUGGAGCAUAGACACCUACGUGGCCUGGACUGCCAGCUCACAAUGGGCCUCUCUGUGAGAGAAGGAAACUUCCCUCUUGUUUAAGCAACUGUGCUUUUGAGAAUCUCUUGGUCUAUACCCUAAUGAAUAAGGCCAUCAUAAAUGGAUAUCAAAAUGGAGUUUCACCCUUGUUGUCCAGACUGGAGUGCAAUGGCGCGAUCUCGGCUCCCGGCAACCUCCGUCUCCCAGGUUCAAGCAAUUCUCCUGCCUCAGCCUCCCAAGUAGCUAGGAUUACAGGCAUGUGCCACCACGCCCGGCUAAUUUUGGAUUUUGUAGUAGAGACGGGGUUUCUCCCUGUUGGUGAAGCUGGCCUCAAACUCGCGACCUCAGGUAUUCGAUGAGAUCAGGAGCAUGCCCAGCUCUCCACUGCGGGCUUCAUGUAAGAGGAGAGCCAUGAUAAUGUAUUGCAUUAUUCUUGUACAGUAAUCAGGCUAAACGAAGGGAGAAACUUUCUCAUGCUGCUGAUGCUGACUGCUUUUGGAUAACUCUUUCAUACUGAACUGGACUGCUGCGUUCUUGAAAAACCAGGAAGAAGAAAAUCACCCUCUAAAACUGAAAUUUCCAGAGACUUGCCUCAACCCAUUGGCUCUCUACAUGCUGCCCUCCUAUUAGGAAAUAGAUUUGUUACUUACAUUCCCCCCUCCACUCACCCUCCACUACCAGACAAAGCUAAAUGGGCUCAGGGGAAAUAAGUAACUGUGAUGUUCCUCAGAGAUCUGUUAUGUACCAAUGAUAAAUGGAAAAUGAAAAUUACUAACAU